rnacentral:rRNA from 1 species
GAUGAACGCUAGCGGGAGGCCUAACACAUGCAAGCCGAGCGGUAUUGUUUCUUCGGAAAUGAGAGAGCGGCGUACGGGUGCGGAACACGUGUGCAACCUGCCUUUAUCUGGGGGAUAGCCUUUCGAAAGGAAGAUUAAUACUCCAUAAUAUAUUGAACGGCAUCGUUUAAUAUUGAAAGCUCCGGCGGAUAGAGAUGGGCACGCGCAGGAUUAGCUAGUUGGUGAGGUAACGGCUCACCAAGGCGAUGAUCUUUAGGGGGCCUGAGAGGGUGAUCCCCCACACUGGUACUGAGACACGGACCAGACUCCUACGGGAGGCAGCAGUGAGGAAUAUUGGUCAAUGGGUGCAAGCCUGAACCAGCCAUCCCGCGUGAAGGACGACUGCCCUAUGGGUUGUAAACUUCUUUUGUAUAGGGAUAAACCUACCCUCGUGAGGGUAGCUGAAGGUACUAUACGAAUAAGCACCGGCUAACUCCGUGCCAGCAGCCGCGGUAAUACGGAGGGUGCAAGCGUUAUCCGGAUUUAUUGGGUUUAAAGGGUCCGUAGGCGGACUUAUAAGUCAGUGGUGAAAGCCUGUCGCUUAACGAUAGAACUGCCAUUGAUACUGUAAGUCUUGAGUAUAUUUGAGGUAGCUGGAAUAAGUAGUGUAGCGGUGAAAUGCAUAGAUAUUACUUAGAACACCAAUUGCGAAGGCAGGUUACCAAGAUAUAACUGACGCUGAGGGACGAAAGCGUGGGGAGCGAACGGGAUUAGAUACCCUGGUAGUCCACGCCGUAAACGAUGCUAACUCGUUUUUGGGCUUUAGGGUUCAGAGACCAAGCGAAAGUGAUAAGUUAGCCACCUGGGGAGUACGCUCGCAAGAGUGAAACUCAAAAGAAUUGACGGGGGCCCGCACAAGCGGUGGAUUAUGUGGUUUAAUUCGAUGAUACGCGAGGAACCUUACCAAGACUUAAAUGGGAAUUGACAGCUUUAGAAAUAGAGCUUUCUUCGGACAAUUUUCAAGGUGCUGCAUGGUUGUCGUCAGCUCGUGCCGUGAGGUGUUAGGUUAAGUCCUGCAACGAGCGCAACCCCUGUCACUAGUUGCCAUCAUUCAGUUGGGGACUCUAGUGAGACUGCCUACGCAAGUAGAGAGGAAGGUGGGGAUGACGUCAAAUCAUCACGGCCCUUACGUCUUGGGCCACACACGUAAUACAAUGGCCGGUACAGAGGGCAGCUACACAGCGAUGUGAUGCAAAUCUCGAAAGCCGGUCUCAGUUCGGAUUGGAGUCUGCAACUCGACUCUAUGAAGCUGGAAUCGCUAGUAAUCGCGCAUCAGCCAUGGCGCGGUGAAUACGUUCCCGGGCCU